rnacentral:rRNA from 1 species
GAUGAACGCUGGCGGCGUGCCUAACACAUGCAAGUCGAACGGAAAGGCCCUGCUUUUGUGGGGUGCUCGAGUGGCGAACGGGUGAGUAACACGUGAGUAACCUGCCCUUGACUUUGGGAUAACAUCAGGAAACUGGGGCUAAUAUAGGAUAGGAUAUCCUGCUGCAUGGAGGGGGUUGGAAAGUUUCGGCGGUUGGGGAUGGACUCGCGGCUUAUGAGCUUGUUGGUGGGGUAGUGGCUUACCAAGGCUUUGACGGAUAGGCGGCCUGGGAGCGUGACCGGCGACAUGGGGACUACGAGAGGGAGCAGUCGGGUACGGGAGGCAAAAGUGGGAAGUAUUGCACAGUGAGCGGAAGCCUGAUGCGACGGCGCCGCGUGCGUGAUGACCGCCUUCGGGUUGUGAACCGCUUUCGCCUGUGACGAAGCGGGAGUGACGGUAACGGAUAAAGAAGCACCGGCUAACUACGUG